rnacentral:rRNA from 1 species
CCUACGGGGGGCAGCAGUGGGGAAUAUUGGGCAAUGGGAGGAAUCCUGACCCAGCGACGCCGCGUGAACGAAGACGGCCUUCGGGUUGUAAAGUUCUUUUAUGUGGGAAGAAGGAAGUGACGGUACCACAUGAAUAAGCCCCGGCUAACUACGUGCCAGCAGCCGCGGUAAUACGUAGGGGGCGAGCGUUGUCCGGAAUUACUGGGCGUAAAGGGCACGCAGGCUGUGCUUCAAGUCAGCUGUAAAAGGAUGCGGCUUAACCGUGUUAUGCGGCUGAGACUGAGGUGCUGGAGUACCGGAGAGGCAAGUGGAAUUCCCAGUGUAGCGGUGAAAUGCGUAGAUAUUGGGAAGAACAUCGGUGGCGAAGGCGACUUGCUGGACGGUAACUGACGCUGAGGUGCGAAAGCCAGGGUAGCGAACGGGAUUAGAUACCCUGGUAGUC